AUUGAACGCUGGCGGCAGGCCUAACACAUGCAAGUCGAGCGGAAGAAGGGAGCUUGCUCCUGGAUUCAGCGGCGGACGGGAGAGUAAUGCCUAGGAAUCUGCCUGGUAGUGGGGGAUAACGUCCGGAAACGGGCGCUAAUACCGCAUACGUCCUGAGGGAGAAAGUGGGGGAUCUCCGGACCUCACGCUAUCAGAUGAGCCUAGGUCGGAUUAGCUUGCUGGAGCGGUAAAGGCCUACCAAGGCGACGAUCCGUAAGUGGCCUGAGAGAAUGAUCAGCCACACUGGAACUGAGCCACGGUCCAGAUUCCUACGGGAGCAAGCAGUGGGGAAUAUUAGGGUCUGGGCCAAUGCCUGAACAAGCCAAGCCGCCUGUGUCAAGAAGGUACUCGGACUGUAAAGCCCCAUUAGUCGGGAAGCAGACAAGUAAGUUAAUACCUUGCUGUCUUGACGUUACCAAAAGAAUACGCACCGGCUAACUUCGUG
rnacentral:rRNA from 1 species